GACGAACGCUGGCGGCGUGCUUAACACAUGCAAGUCGAACGGGCCCGCUCUCUUUUUUGGGGGUGGGUUGAGUGGCGAUCGGGUGAGUAUCACGUGAGUAACCUGCCCCCUGCUCCUGGAUAACUGCUUGAAAGGGCGGCUAAUACGGGGUGUGCCGGCUGGUCCGCAUGGGCCUGGUCGGGAUAGUUUCAUCUUCGGGUGUUUCGGUGGGGGAUGGGCUCGCGGCCUAUCAGCUUGUUGGUGGGGUGAUGGCCCACCAAGGCGGUGACGGGUAGCCGGCCUGAGAGGGUGGGCGGCCACACUGGGACUGAGACACGGCCCAGACUCCUGCGGGAGGCAGCAGUGGGGGGUAUUGCACAAUGGGCGGAAGCCUGAUGCAGCGACGUCGCGUGAGGGAUGGAGGCCUUCGGGUUGUGAACCUCUUUCUCCGGUGGUGAAGGCCCUGUCCGUUGCGGCGGGGUUGACGGUAGCCGGGUAUGAAGCGCCGGCUAACUACGUG
rnacentral:rRNA from 1 species